rnacentral:rRNA from 1 species
UACGUAGGUGGCGAGCGUUGUCCGGAUUUACUGGGCGUAAAGAGCGCGCAGGCGGUCGUGCAAGUCGCGUGUGAAAGCCCCCCGGCUCAACUGGGGAGGGUCACGCGAUACUGAUCGACUCGAAGGCAGGAGAGGGUAGUGGAAUUCCCGGUGUAGCGGUGAAAUGCGUAGAUAUCUGGAGGAACACCGGUGGCGAAGGCGGCAUCCUGGACCGACACUGACGCUGAGGAGCGAAAGCCAGGGGAGCAAACGGG